rnacentral:rRNA from 1 species
GGGUUGUGAGGUUAAGCGAAUAAGCGUACACGGUGGAUGCCUAGGCAAUCAGAGGCGAUGAAGGACGUGCUAAUCUGCGAAAAGCGUCGGUAAGGUGAUAUGAACCGUUAUACCCGACGAUAUCCGAAUGGGGAAACCCAGUAUCCAAUGGAUACUAUCAUUAACUGAAUCCAUAGGUUAAUGAGGCGAACCGGGAGAACUGAAACAUCUCAGUACCCCGAGGAAAAGAAAUCAACCGAGAUUCCCCUAGUAGCGGCGAGCGAACGGGGAGCAGCCCAGAGUCUUAAUCAAUAGCAGUGUCAGGAGAACGGUCUGGAAAGUCCGGCAGUAAAGGGUGAUAGCCCCGUAUCUGAAGAUGCUGUUGUUGUGAACUCGACGAGUAGGGCGGGACACGUGUUAUCCUGUCUGAAUAUGGGGGGACCAUCCUCCAAGGCUAAAUACUCCUGAUUGACCGAUAGUGAACCAGUACCGUGAGGGAAAGGCGAAAAGAACCCCGGCGAGGGGAGUGAAAAAGAACCUGAAACCGUGUACGUACAAGCAGUAGGAGCCUCUUUAUGGGGUGACUGCGUACCUUUUGUAUAAUGGGUCAGCGACUUAUAUUCUGUAGCAAGGUUAACCGCAUAGGGGAGCCGUAGGGAAACCGAGUCUUAACUGGGCGAAUGAGUUGCAGGGUAUAGACCCGAAACCCGGUGAUCUAUCCAUGGGCAGGUUGAAGGUUGGGUAACACUAACUGGAGGACCGAACCGACUAAUGUUGAAAAAUUAGCGGAUGACUUGUGGAUGGGGGUGAAAGGCCAAUCAAACCGGGAGAUAGCUGGUUCUCCCCGAAAGCUAUUUAGGUAGCGCCUCGUGAACUCAUCUUCGGGGGUAGAGCACUGUUUCGACUAGGGGGUCAUCCCGACUUACCAACUCGAUGCAAACUGCGAAUACCGAAGAAUGUUAUCACGGGAGACACACGGCGGGUGCUAACGUCCGUCGUGAAGAGGGAAACAACCCAGACCGCCAGCUAAGGUCCCAAAGUCAUGGUUAAGUGGGAAACGAAGUGGGAAGGCUCAGACAGCCAGGAUGUUGGCUUAGAAGCAGCCAUCAUUUAAAGAAAGCGUAAUAGCUCACUGGUCGAGUCGGCCCGCGCGGAAGAUGUAACGGGGCUAAACCAUGCACCGAAGCUGCGGCAGCGACACAAAGUGUUGUUGGGUAGGGGAGCGUUCUGUAAGCCUGCGAAGGUGUACUGUGAGGUAUGCUGGAGGUAUCAGAAGUGCGAAUGCUGACAUAAGUAACGAUAAUGCGGGUGAAAAACCCGCACGCCGGAAGACCAAGGGUUCCUGUCCAACGUUAAUCGGGGCAGGGUGAGUCGACCCCUAAGGCGAGGCUGAAAAGCGUAGUCGAUGGGAAACGGGUUAAUAUUCCCGUACUGGUGGUAACUGCGAUGGGGGAACGGAGAAGGCUAGGUUGUCCGGGCGACGGUCGUCCCGGUUCAAGCAGGUAGGCAGAGUGAUUAGGCAAAUCCGGUCACUUAAUGCUGAGAUGUGAUGACGAACCACCAAGGUGGUGAAGCAAUUGAUGCCCCGCUUCCAGGAAAAGCCUCUAAGCUUCAGGUUACCAACAAUCGUACCCCAAACCGACACAGGUGGUCAGGUAGAGAAUACUCAGGCGCUUGAGAGAACUCGGGUGAAGGAACUAGGCAAAAUGGUGCCGUAACUUCGGGAGAAGGCACGCUGGCGGUAGGUAAAGUCCCUCGCGGACGGCGCUGAAGCCAGUCGAAGAUACCAGCUGGCUGCAACUGUUUAUUAAAAACACAGCACUGUGCAAACACGAAAGUGGACGUAUACGGUGUGACGCCUGCCCGGUGCUGGAAGGUUAAUUGAUGGGGUCAGCCGUAAGGCGAAGCUCCUGAUCGAAGCCCCAGUAAACGGCGGCCGUAACUAUAACGGUCCUAAGGUAGCGAAAUUCCUUGUCGGGUAAGUUCCGACCUGCACGAAUGGCGUAAUGAUGGCCAGGCUGUCUCCACCCGAGACUCAGUGAAAUUGAACUCGCUGUGAAGAUGCAGUGUACCCGCGGCAAGACGGAAAGACCCCGUGAACCUUUACUAUAGCUUGACACUGAACAUUGAGCCUUGAUGUGUAGGAUAGGUGGGAGGCUUUGAAGUGUGGACGCCAGUCUGCAUGGAGCCAACCUUGAAAUACCACCCUUUAACGUUUGAUGUUCUAACCUAGGCCCAUAAACUGGGUCGGGGACCGUGUCUGGUGGGUAGUUUGACUGGGGCGGUCUCCUCCUAAAGAGUAACGGAGGAGCACGAAGGUUGGCUAAGCAUGGUCGGACAUCAUGCGGUUAGUGCAAAGGCAUAAGCCAGCUUGACUGCGAGAGUGACGGCUCGAGCAGGUACGAAAGUAGGUCUUAGUGAUCCGGUGGUUCUGAAUGGAAGGGCCAUCGCUCAACGGAUAAAAGGUACUCCGGGGAUAACAGGCUGAUACCGCCCAAGAGUUCAUAUCGACGGCGGUGUUUGGCACCUCGAUGUCGGCUCAUCACAUCCUGGGGCUGAAGUAGGUCCCAAGGGUAUGGCUGUUCGCCAUUUAAAGUGGUACGCGAGCUGGGUUUAGAACGUCGUGAGACAGUUCGGUCCCUAUCUGCCGUGGGCGUUGGAAGAUUGAGAGGGGUUGCUCCUAGUACGAGAGGACCGGAGUGAACGCACCACUGGUGUUCGGGUUGUCAUGCCAAUGGCAUUGCCCGGUAGCUAAGUGCGGAAGAGAUAACCGCUGAAAGCAUCUAAGCGGGAAACUUGCCUCGAGAUGAGUCUUCCCUGUCACUUUAAGUGACCUAAAGGAACGUUUAAGACUAAGACGUUGAUAGGCUGGGUGUGUAAGCGUAGCGAUACGUUGAGCUAACCAGUACUAAUGAACCGUGAGGCUUAACCUGACAACACCGAAAGUGUUUUG